rnacentral:rRNA from 1 species
UACGAAGGGGGCUAGCGUUGUUCGGAAUUACUGGGCGUAAAGCGCACGUAGGCGGACAUUUAAGUCAGGGGUGAAAUCCCGGGGCUCAACCCCGGAACUGCCUUUGAUACUGAGAAGCUUGAGUCCGGGAGAGGUGAGUGGAACUGCGAGUGUAGAGGUGAAAUUCGUAGAUAUUCGCAAGAACACCAGUGGCGAAGGCGGCUCACUGGCCCGGUACUGACGCUGAGGUGCGAAAGCGUGGGGAGCAAACAGG